CGACCCCAUCUCAGGUGAGAAAACUUGCUAAGUUUAAGCAUAUAAUUAAGUGGAGGAAAAGAAACUUACAAGGAUUCCCCUAGUAACGGCGAGCGAACUAGGAAGAGCCCAGCAUGACAAUCGGGUGGCUGCACCGCCUAAAUUGUAGUCUGUAGAAGCAUCCUUAGUGACAGACUGGGAUCAAGUCCCCUGGAAGGGGGUGCCUGAGAGGGUGACAACCCCAUCGGUUCGGGACCCUGCCACACCACGAGGCGUUGUCAGCGAGUCAGGUUGUUUGGGAAUGCAUCCCUAAAUGGGUGGUAAAUUUCAUCCAAGGCUAAAGACGGGCGAGAGACCGAUAGCGAACAAGUACCGCAACGGAAAUAUGAAAAGGACUUUGAAAAGAGAGUUGAAGAGUUCUUGAAAUUGUCGGGAGGGAAGCAAAUGGAGGCUGGUGAUGUGUCUCCAUCGGAUGUGGAAUGCCUCAAGAUGGUCUGCCACUCACCUUGAGGUGCAAACCAGCACAAGUCGUUGCAUCGGCAUAAGCGCGGGUGGAGUAAUUCAUGUUGGUUUGUCAUUAUGGCGGUCGAGGAGUGGAAAAAUCAAGGGAUUCCACCAACACUCAUUUAAAUUUAUUUUUAAUCACUUGCCAAUACUUCUUUUAGUUUGUUUAUAUUGAGCUCCCACAUGAAGUAGUUUAUAUCUAUGAGGAUUUAAGAUCAAUUUUUCAAUCCUGAAUUUGAUGUGUAAAUAUUUAUGAAGGUAUUGGAUCCCUUAAUGACUCCUUAGUAUUGUUGACGAGUUGAAGAAGUUUUGAAAUCACCAAGCAACCAUGCAGGAAAAUCAAUGUUGCAUAGAAUAAGAGUUUAAUUUAUUUUAUGAGUUUAAAAGUUAGUAAUUGAACCUUCAUCAUUGAAGUAAGAAACUAAAGGUGUCAAUUUUUUUGUAUAUUUGGAUAAUUUAUCCAAGAAAAAGAAACAUUCUAGGUUGGGAGGCCAAUGAGUCUCCAAACCUAGUGACUAAACCUUCUUGAGUAUUAAGGUAUAUGAUUUACACCCAAAAAGAAAAAUCACUUAUUCAGUGAGGUUACUCGUUGUCCAAACCAACUGAUUGAGGUUAUUGACCCUUGCACUCAACAAAUUUCCUCCUUGGGGUAAAUCACUCACUUGUCCUUAUUU
rnacentral:ncRNA from 1 species